rnacentral:rRNA from 1 species
CCUACGGGGGGCUGCAGUGGGGAAUAUUGGACAAUGGGCGAAAGCCUGAUCCAGCCAUGCCGCGUGUGUGAAGAAGGCCUUCGGGUUGUAAAGCACUUUCAGUGGGGAAGAAAGCCUUGGGGCUAAUACCCUCGAGGAAGGACAUCACCCACAGAAGAAGCACCGGCUAACUCCGUGCCAGCAGCCGCGGUAAUACGGAGGGUGCGGGCGUUAAUCGGAAUUACUGGGCGUAAAGCGCGCGUAGGCGGUCUGAUAAGCCGGUUGUGAAAGCCCCGGGCUCAACCUGGGAACGGCAUCCGGAACUGUCAGGCUAGAGUGCAGGAGAGGAAGGUAGAAUUCCCGGUGUAGCGGUGAAAUGCGUAGAGAUCGGGAGGAAUACCAGUGGCGAAGGCGGCCUUCUGGACUGACACUGACGCUGAGGUGCGAAAGCGUGGGUAGCAAACAGGAUUAGAUACCCUUGUAGUC